rnacentral:rRNA from 1 species
GAUGAACGCUGGCGGCGUGCCUAAUACAUGCAAGUCGAGCGAACAGACGAGGAGCUUGCUCCUCUGACGUUAGCGGCGGACGGGUGAGUAACACGUGGAUAACCUACCUAUAAGACUGGGAUAACUUCGGGAAACCGGAGCUACUACCGGAUAAUAUAUUGAACCGCAUAGUUCAAUAGUGAAAGACGGUUUUGCUGUCUCUUAUAGAUGGAUCCGCGCCGCAUUAGCUAGUUGGUAAGGUAACGGCUUACCAAGGCAACGAUGCGUAGCCGACCUGAGAGGGUGAUCGGCCACACUGGAACUGAGACACGGUCCAGACUCCUACGGGAGGCAGCAGUAGGGAAUCUUCCGCAAUGGGCGAAAGCCUGACGGAGCAACGCCGCGUGAGUGAUGAAGGUCUUCGGAUCGUAAAACUCUGUUAUUAGGGAAGAACAAAUGUGUAAGUAACUAUGCACGUCUUGACGGUACCUAAUCAGAAAGCCACGGCUAACUACGUG